AUUGAACGCUGGCGGAAGGCUUAACACAUGCAAGUCGAGCGGGGGAAGGUAGCUUGCUACCGGACCUAGCGGCGGACGGGUGAGUAAUGCUUAGGAAUCUGCCUAUUAGUGGGGGACAACAUCUCGAAAGGGAUGCUAAUACCGCAUACGUCCUACGAGAGAAAGCAGGGGAUCUUCGGACCUUGCGCUAAUAGAUGAGCCUAAGUCGGAUUAGCUAGUUGGUGGGGUAAAGGCCUACCGAGGCGACGAUCUGUAGCGGGUCUGAGAGGAUGAUCCGCCACACUGGGGCUGAGACACGGCCCAGACUCCUACGGGAGGCAGCAGUGGGGAAUAUUGGACAAUGGGGGGAACCCUGAUCCAGCCAUGCCGCGUGUGUGAAGAAGGCCUUAUGGUUGUAAAGCACUUUAAGCGAGGAGGAGGCUACUCUAGUUAAUACCUAGGGAUAGUGGACGUUACUCGCAGAAUAAGCACCGGCUAACCCUGUGCCAGCAGCCGCCGUAA
rnacentral:rRNA from 1 species